UAGGCGUCUAAGGUAGACUUCCACUACAAUGCCAUACUGAUGAGUCCAGUAGUGGAAGUUGGGACGAAACGCCAU
rnacentral:hammerhead_ribozyme from 15 species